AUUGAACGCUGGCGGCAUGCUUUACACAUGCAAGUCGAACGGCAGCGCGGGCUUCGGCCUGGCGGCGAGUGGCGAACGGGUGAGUAAUGCAUCGGAACGUGCCCAGUAGUGGGGGAUAGCGCGGCGAAAGGCGGAUUAAUACCGCAUACGACCUGAGGGUGAAAGCGGGGGACCGAAAGGCCUCGCGCUAUUGGAGCGGCCGAUGUCGGAUUAGCUAGUUGGUGGGGUAAAGGCUUACCAAGGCGACGAUCCGUAACUGGUCUGAGAGGACGACCAGUCACACUGGGAUUGAGACACGGCCCAGACUCCUACGGGAGGCAGCAGUGGGGAAUUUUGGACAAUGGGGGCAACCCUGAUCCAGCCAUGCCGCGUGCGGGAAGAAGGCCUUCGGGUUGUAAACCGCUUUUGGUCGGGAAGAAAUCCUCUGGGCUAAUACCCCGGGGGGAUGACGGUACCGGAAGAAUAAGCACCGGCUAACUACGUG
rnacentral:rRNA from 1 species